rnacentral:rRNA from 1 species
CUGGACCUCGGAUCAGGCCAGGCUACCCGCUGAAUUUAAGCAUAUUAAUAAGCGGAGGAAAAGAAACUAACAAGGAUUCCCCCAGUAACGGCGAGCGAAGCGGGAAUAGCUCAAAUUUGAAAUCUCCGGUGCCUGCACCGGCGAAUUGUAGUCUGUAGGGCCAGUUUCGCCCGAGACGGUUUCCCCAAAGUCGUCCUGGAAAGGCGGGCCAGAGAGGGUGAGAGCCCCGUGCGUGGGGGCACCGUCGGAGGUAAGAUCUGUGCCCGAAGAGUCGGGUUGUUUGGGAUUGCAGCCCAAAAUGGGUGGUAAACUCCAUCUAAAGCUAAAUACCGGCACGAGACCGAUAGCGAACAAGUACCGUGAGGGAA